AUAAAAAACAUGGGGCCCAAACCAUCUCCAAAGAAGAAGAAAUCCCCAAAGAAAAUAACCGAAAAGUAAAUACUUUAAUUCUAUUUGUUGCUUUUUCUCGGUUUAUGUACAAUUUUAAUAUUUUGUAUACUGAAACUAGAAACAAAAGAGGUCGAGAGGUUCAUUUUGUGUGUUAAAAAUCAUCCUGUAUUGUAUAAUACUACAUUGCACGAUUACAAAGACGGACAAAUUCAAGCACAAGCCAAGGAAACAAUUGCAGCCCAAUUUCAUUGCAGUAAAAGCACCCUUACAAUAAUGCAUACAAAACUUUGAUUAAGACUACUCGUGGUCCUUUUUGAGUUGGCACUAGUUUGUUUUGACAACAAAGUUCCCCUAGCGGGAUGUGCAGGAACUACCAAAAGUUUGCCCUGCCUUCUGCAACGCCCAUUUUCCGUAUGAUGUCUGUAAACCUAUGUGCAGUGUAGAUUGCGUUACGGAAAAACUGAAAUAGCGUGGCAGUAAGACUGUAUGCCGGUAUGCCUGUAUGACCGUAACUUGUCUUUAAAAACUGCUAGCAUAGACGCACCUUUAUAUCAAGAUAUUUAAAAAGGAGUGAAAACAUAAGAUAUUCUUUAAAUGUUGCAACGGUUUUGUUUCAUACAUUUCCAAUUCCAAGCUAAAUUUACGUUCAUAAGCUAAAUUCCAGCUACCUAAGCCUUUCUUUUAGCGAUUUUUCUUAACUAGUGUGCUGCCCUCUGUUGUAUCAGUUAAAAACUGAAAAAAAAAUUCUUAAAGUACCCUCGAAAACUGACGACCAAGCCUUAUGGCCAAAGCAACAUGGUCUCCACGGUAUAUACUAUAUACCGACCGUUCGGUAAGAUUUCAUUCCUGUUUUCCCUCUCUGUAGUCCUAUCUACAAGUAGUGCCGCCAACGGCCGAAGGGGGGACUGAAACAAACGUCGAUUCCUAGGAUUACAGUAUGGUGGAAGUUUUUUAAUUUUGAGUAUGUUUAUUUUUAUUUUAAAAUGACAAGUAGAAAGAAAGGAAGAAGAGUAUUUGAUGUAGUUGAGAAGUUAAGAGCAUACCAAAUGUACGAUUAUGUUAAGACGAAUAAGUGCAGUGAUCCCACUAUUGUUACCACCAAACAUAGAAAACGACCUGAAAUUUAUGAAAGGACCCAGCUUUUAUCUAAUGAUCACUUCAAGGGGCAAAAUCAUUGUGCACAUUCAUUUCUUCAACACUAAGCAAUCAACAACCUACGGGAAAGCUUUUGGAGACGUGACCCAAGCAUUUCUUGAUACUCAUAAAAUUUUCGAGAAAUUUCUUUUGAGACUUGCAAUGCUGCAGAUCAAGGUGUUGAAGUUAUUUCUAAAAACCCUGACGGUACCAACAAACAAGCUGUUCCUGAAAAUAUUCAAGAUCCAAACAGUGCGUUUGAAAUGGAUUUUGUUAAUAGUGGUAUUGAAGAAGAGUUGAUAACACUCAACAACAUGAUUCCGGAUUCCACUACAAUUUCAAUUAUGGUUCCUGUUGCCCCAGCACAACCAGUAUUUUCUUGUGAUACUUAUCCGUCAAUUCCGGCUUUCACUGCACUGUCAAUUUCGUUUGCUAGUCCUCCACCAUAUUUGGAUGCGAUUCCGAAGGCCAAAAAGUUACCCAAAACUUUAUCGCCGGUAACAGAAGUUAUUCCAUGCAGUAAAAAAAGUAGUGGAUCUAGGGUUUUUCGAAGAAACAUGUUGCUCCAAUUCCCAUUCCACCGCCUUCAUGAGAUUUAUUACAUGAACUUAUAUCAGUUUUAUAUUAUUUUAUUAUAGCCGAAUGGGAAAAAA